GGGUUUGAUCUUGGCCCAGCUAUUAUGCAUUACAGCAAGUUUAACACAUGCAAGUUAUGCAAUUUUAUAAUAAUUUUUAUUAAUAAGUUGCAUAGCGUCCGGGUGCGUAUAAAUUGGAUUUUUACCUAGCCACUUUUUCCACUUUAGUGGAAGGAAGGCAGGUUAUACCAAAGUUUUUCAUAUGAAAAAUAUUGAUUAAUCUAAUCUGGAUUAGGUUGUAGGUACAUAAAUUUAUUUAUGUUUAAGGUGAUAGCUUACCUAGCCCUAGAUCCAUAGCUACCUUUAAUGAGGUAUAAGCCACAGCGGAACUGAAACACGGUCCGUUAGAAUUUUUCUGCAGCAGUGAAGAAUCUUUGACAAUGAACGAAAGUUUGAUCAAGCUAUGCUGUUUAAAGUAGGUUUUAAAAUUAAAUCUAUAUUACAGAAGGUCAUACGACUGGAACCUUUGAUUCUUUUUGUUUAAGUUAAUGAUAAACCAAAAAGAAAAUGCCCGGCUAAUUCUGUGCCAGCAGCCGCGGGAAUACAGGAGGGCAAAGCAUAUAGCCAUUGGACUAGGCAUAAAGCGUGGGUCGGUGUAUUUGUUUUUUUAUUACUUUUUCCUAGAAGGUUCUAGGCUGGUUUUAAAUAAUACAAAUAUGGAGUUGUAAAAAGGAAUGUAGAAUAACCUUAGUACCGGUAGAAUGGAAACAUAAAGGUUGGAAUAUCUAUGGCGAAGGCAGCAUUCUAUUAACAGACAGACACUUAGCCACGGAAGCGUUGGGAGCAAAAGGGAUUAGAGACCCCUGUAGUCAACGCCGUCAACUAUGAGUGUACUUGCAAAAAAAAUUUGUAAUUAACAAAAUGUACAAACACUCCGCCUGGGGAGUAAUGUCGCAAGACAGAAACUCAAAAGAAUAGACCGCUGGGUAGAACGGUAGUGGAACAUAGCGGUGGAAGUGAUACAACGCAAAACACCUCACCAUUCCUUGACAUACCUUUU
rnacentral:rRNA from 1 species